UGUUUUCCUUCCUGAUUUCCCUCCUUCUAACCACUACCAUCAUCAUCACCAUUCACCAAACAUUUACUAGGUGCAGGGCCCCCUGCUGAGUGCUUUACUCGGAUCAUCUCCUCUAAGUCUCUGUGUCUUAGGUCUCCCUCCUUCUUACCCUCUUAGCUACGUCCCGGCCUCAGUUUCCCCAGCUUCUGGGCUCCGUGGUUCCUCCUCAUGUGGGGCCUUGUGGAUAGGACUCAGCCCAGACUUGCUCCAGGCUCUGUGACAGUCCUGGCUCCAGCCUCGGCCUCACUGCGAUGGGGCUGGACCUGGGCCCCGUGUCCACCGCCUCAGGAAGAAGCUGGAGGAUCUUCCCGUGAGACUGGACAGACCAGACAGCACUGCCCAGCCUCCCUGCUCCACUCCAGGGGCUGGGUCUCUGCAGCCCUCCCCUGCCCUGCCUCGUACCUUCCAGAACCUCCCACCAGCCCUGGGCUCCCCACGUCCUGAGCCCACCUGACACCCUCGGCCACGCCUGUUUCUGCACCCACUUCCCACCCCCAUCACCUUGGCUUCCUCCCAUGAUGCCUCAGGCUCACCUGUGCCUACCCAGGGUGACGCCGUCCCUGGGUCCCCUCCUCUGUUCUUUCUCCCUCUUUCUCCUUUUCCCACAUUUGCUGCCCUUCCCACCUUCCUCCUUCCAUUCUCUCUGUCUCUCCCAUUUCCCAUCACCUCUUACCAAGCCCCCAGUUUUUUACGGCAGGUCCUGGCGUUACAGACGCACACAAGAUGGGGUCACUGCCCCAGAUGAGUCGGGCCUGAUGGGGAAGACGGAGCAGCGGCCACGGCCGCAAAGCUCUGCACGCUCUGCAGCCGGCAUCCAUGCAGCGUCCUACGCGUAGGUUCAACGACCCAAGCGCACGGUCAGGGUGGGGCCACCCCAGCCUUCCAGAAACGCGUGGAGCGAGUGCUUUGGCAUCACACUCAGCGUGGGCCGACAGGGUGGCACGACGGCUUACGCAGAGAGAACGGAACCCGAGGUGCAUUACUAGGGCUUCAGCACUUGGGGUGGGGAGAUGGGGGCUCUGCUCUUCUCUGCGACGUCCCCCAUCCCACAGGCGCUGUGCUCACGUAUUCCUUUGCGUGGCUACGUGACGGAUUUUGUCUUAUCUCCUGGGGAAGACAGACAUCGUGGUGGACGCAGUUGAUUCAUGACAGGAGCCUGUGCUGCAGAAAGAGAGCGAAGGCAGCAGGUCACAUCCCAGCCUGUGGCUUGGCUGCUCGGGCCUUGGGGAAGCCCCCUCCGUGCCGAACACACCCUGCCGCUCCACAGGCAGAGGCAGCUCCCAGGAAUUAGCCUGACCUCCAUGACUGACACACUGUGGUAGAACUCUCUGGGGGCUGUUCAGCGGAGACCGGCUUGAGAUCCAAGUGAAGUCACUUGUACAGUCCUGCCAUUUGGGGUGUGUGCCUGCAUGUGUGUGUGCAGCAGAGGGGACGUUGCAUCACACAGAGACACUUGUGCUGUUGACCAUCAGCGGUGGAUCUCUCUGUCCCCAGCGAUGGGCUCUGGAGGCCUGUUUUUGUUGAUGGGCAGAGACCUGGUGCAUCCCCCUCAGAGGCCGAGUGUACUCCCCGUGCCACCUGCCACUUCUCAGUUGCCUGCACACCUGCGGGUUGUCACCAAGCUGUGCGACUUGCUUUUCAAUAAACUUCUGAACAAACAACAUGGAAACCUGGACUGAACUUGUGCAGGGACCCUGAGGUGAGUGGAACUG